AUUCCUUGAAGCCCGUGAGACCACGAACCCUCUGAUGGAGAAAAGACCUUCCAUUGGGAGAAGACUUCUCAUCUUAUUUCCACCUAUAAUCUCUUCAAAACAUAGCAGUCAGAGUUAUCUGCUGAACUCACAAGUCACUCAUCUGCUCAAAGCCUCCCGGUGGCUUCUCAUCUCACAGAAUCCAAGUCUACCUUCCUGGAGCCUCUAUAUACUAAUUGUUUUGCUCAACAAAGAACACACACAGUGUUGACUCCAUCUUUUAUAUGAUGCCUCACCACAAUGUUUCAUUGGCCAGUGCAAAAGAAACCGGGACGCUUCCUCAUACUGCACAUCUUUAUCUGAGAACCAAAGGACAAAUAUGGGUGUCACAUGCCAGCUCCUUCUACCUCCUUCUGAAACCAGAGGGCUGGAUUGGGACCGUGCUGUUUAGUUCACAGAUUUCAGGGAAAGUGAAUUCUGAAUAAUCAUUUUUAUUAGAUCUUCCUAUGUGUAAAAAUCUUUGGUGAGAUUUACAAUCUCAUUUAAAGUUCUUUCACAAUUUUCAUGAAAAUUGAGUGAUGUGUAAUAAAUAAGUUAUUUUUUUCCUUUAUAGCUAAUGCUUGACUUUUUUUCCUUUGAUAAUAUAGCUUAUGAAGCAGAUAAAUAUGCCAAUACCCUUGAUUUUAAGUCUUUCAAAUAAAAGACCACAG
rnacentral:lncRNA from 1 species